rnacentral:lncRNA from 1 species
GGAGAGAGGUGGGUUAAGGGGAGGGGGCCUGAGGCAGGAGGAAGGGAUGGAGGAGGGAGGCUGGAGAGCACCUACAAUCAGGGAGCCUCACAUAGCUCAACCUAUGAUUACUGAAUCCGCAAAUCAGAAGGGUUUCUCUUCUAAGUUUCAUCACUGAAUAUCCACUGGGAAUUCUUCGUGGACAUGAGCAGAGAUGCUAGCUUUGAUGUGUCACACAGGCUUGGACCAAGGGCAUCUGUCUGUGACCAGUAGGGACAGAUAUGUGGCUGCUCCAGAAAAGCGCUAUAUUCUCAUGUGACUUGUUGCACGGUACCAAGGACUUUGAUCACAGAAAUCAAGUGUCCAUUACUUUCUUGACCAUGCUCUGCUGGCAAGUUCCAGGGAGGACCAGCUCCCUGCCUGCAAGUUCCAGGGCUUAGUUCGCCGGUGCCACCACCCUGAUUGCUCCUGGAGGGAUGUCUUUCUGUGUCCCCACAGCUGCUACUACAUUCCCAUUUUAGCAGAGUGGACCAGAUGGCUCCCAUAGGUAAGUUGCUGCAAGAGGGAAACGACAGUGAUCAGGAUGAGGGUGCUGGUUAUACCAGCAGAGCAACAUCUACCCUCCCUGUUCCAGCAUUUUAAGUUUUCUGAAGCAGGUGACUAAUACUCCAAUAAUAUUAAACAUAGCACUGAGAGUAAGUUCCACUAGGAAGGCAGGAUUAUUUCCUUUGUUCAGUAUUAUAUUUCACCG